rnacentral:rRNA from 1 species
AAAUUGAAGAGUUUGAUCAUGGCUCAGAUUGAACGCUGGCGGCAGGCCUAACACAUGCAAGUCGAACGGUAACAGGAAGCAGCUUGCUGCUUCGCUGACGAGUGGCGGACGGGUGAGUAAUGUCUGGGAAACUGCCUGAUGGAGGGGGAUAACUACUGGAAACGGUAGCUAAUACCGCAUAACGUCGCAAGACCAAAGAGGGGGACCUUCGGGCCUCUUGCCAUCGGAUGUGCCCAGAUGGGAUUAGCUAGUAGGUGGGGUAACGGCUCACCUAGGCGACGAUCCCUAGCUGGUCUGAGAGGAUGACCAGCCACACUGGAACUGAGACACGGUCCAGACUCCUACGGGAGGCAGCAGUGGGGAAUAUUGCACAAUGGGCGCAAGCCUGAUGCAGCCAUGCCGCGUGUAUGAAGAAGGCCUUCGGGUUGUAAAGUACUUUCAGCGGGGAGGAAGGG